rnacentral:lncRNA from 1 species
UCCAGCUUCGUUAUGCCGUCUGGGGUAGCCUCCUUCACCUUUCCCAGAGCCUGUUUUCCCAGCUUUAUUACAGGUAGAUGACUCCUAUGUCAUUGGGUUGCAGUGAGGACCAGACGAGGUAACACACGCAGAAGAGACCUGUAGAGCCCCACUGGGGUGCUUCCUGCCCAAUCCCUCCUUCCCUCCCACCCUCCACAGGUGUCAGACCCGUGUCUCAGUCAGAAGACUUUCCCUGCCGACGUAUGCUCCCUCUAAUUCCACCUUGACAUUUGUUUCCCAGAAGUCUGGAACUGGCGCGGGGGCUUUGGAAGUAGCAAGUAGCAAUACAGUAGCAGCAAUGAGUGAUGGAAGCUGAUAGAAAAUGCAGUCACUUUGGUUAGCGGUUGGCCUGCACGAGAUGGCGUGGGCAUGUCAAUCUGAGGUCUCUGCCUCUGGUAGACAAGAUUUCUAUGCAUGAAAUAGAGUCCUGUUGCAGCCUGAGACCGAAAGUGCUGGCAGGGUUAAAGAAAUCAGGGCUGCAAAUCAACUGGGAUCUGCUAUAUUCACAGGACGUUGGAGUUUGGAUCUUGCUCAUGGCUGGCGAAGUGUUUAGAUCCUUUUGGAUGUCCUUCCAGAAGAGCACUCCCCAUCAACCCGCGGGCAGCUGAAUUCCCACCUCAGACUCUGCUCCAAGGGCGCCGUGUCUACGGAGGCGACGCUGAGGAUGGCUUAUCAGGUUGGGUCACUCACCCCACCACGAGGACCUGACCUUAAAUUCUCGGUGCAUCCUAAGUGUGACCCAGAGACCGCCUGCGUCAGAAGCACCUAGAAUGCUGUGGAAGCACCUUCAAUGCAGAUUCCUGGGCCCAACCCUGGUUCCACUGAAUCGGGGUCAGCUGGUGGGCCCAGGAAUUGGCAUUUUCAACAGCUUCCAAUUGUACACCAGAAUACUCAAGCUUGUGACUCCCCUGCUCACUGUUUUCUUCAUCCUUUCUCACUUCCUGCUGAGUACAUAUGUAUUUUACUACUUUUAGAGAUACUUUUACAAUAAAGGCAGUCUUGAAAGUGUGUCCGGAAUUGGUGGGUUCUUGGUCUCGCUGACUUCAAGAAUGAAGGCGCGGACCUGAGUGUUACAGUUCUUAAAGGCGGCACGUUGGGAGUUGUUCGUUUCUCCCGGUGGGCUCGUGGUCUCGCCGGCUUCAGAAGUGAAGCUGCAGACCUUCGCGGUGGGUGUUACAGCCCAUAGAGGCAACGAGUUCGGAAUUGUUCCUUCCUCCCGGUGGGCUCCUGGUCUCGAUAGCUUACAGGAACGAAGCUGCAGACCUUAGCGGUGGAUGCUACAGCUCAUAAAGGUAGUGCAGACCCAAAGACCAAGAGAACAAAACUACCACAACGCAGAACAGAACCCUAGCGGGUUGCCGCUGCUGGCUCAGUCUCCCCCACCCCCAGUUUGUUCUCGGGACAAACCAUCGGUCUAGGAUGAACUCCGUUUUCCACUGGAAGGUCUCAAGAGGCUAAAGGCACCCCACGGGCUUCUCCCCGAGGAAGGGACUGAGGACAGAGGAGGGCCACGGUUGCAAUGAGGACAGCUCCGGCUCAAAAGCGUCCCUGGACCCUUGACUCUCAGCUUGUCUUGUCUUCCUUAAUAAAUUUCAGUUUGCGGGGGAGGGGAGAGGGAUAGCAUUAGGAGAUAUACCUAAUGCUAAAUGACGAGUUAAUGG